GGGCCCGUGGUCCAGUGGUUAUGACGUCACACUCACACUGUGAAGAGCCUCGGUUCGAAUCCGAGCGGGCCCA
rnacentral:tRNA from 1 species